rnacentral:rRNA from 1 species
UACGAGUGCUCCAAGCGUUAUCCGGAAUCAUUGGGCGUAAAGGGUGUGUAGGUGGUAAUGUUAGUCUUCUGUUAAAUUCUUCGGCUUAACCGGGGGCAUGCAGGGGAAACGGCAUUACUAGAGGAUGCGAGAGGCACAUGGAACUCAUGGAGUAGGGGUGAAAUGCGUAGAUAUCGAGAGGAACACCUGCGGCGAAGGCGGGUUGCUGGGCUGACACUGACGCUGGGGCGCGAAAGCUAGGGGAGCGAACGGG